AUGUAAAGGGAGGACCGACAGCUUCUCUUCUAAAGGACGCCCCAUGGUGGCUGGGCGGCACCGUCUGCAAAGUCCAUCCCCAAAAUUGACCAUUCCCCGGCAGUCCUUCCCCCAAACUGAUACUUCUACUUACGCCACUCCGUCAUGAAGGUUUCUUGGCUUUGUUUGCAGCAUCUGAAUCUGAUAGGAAGUGGGUUGGCAAUGAAAGCCAUGGUAGAAGCAGCAGGACCAGAGUGCGUUGUCCCCUGACAAGUUACACCCAUCAAAUUACUGUUACACCCAUCAAAUUACUCGGUGUCAAGUUUAUUUUUUUCCAUCUUCAUUAUCAUCAGAAUGAGAGUCUUAGAAAUUUAGUUUAUUUUUUAAUAUUUAACUUCGCAAAUUUGAUGAAAUAUUUGGUGAUUUAUUACAUGACUGAUUUUCAUUUGAUUUCUUUAUUUUUUACAUGACUGAUUUCUUUGGUUGAUUGAUCUUUAGAGAUUUCUUUGGGCACCUAUGAGUGGAAAUUGCUGGAUGCUAAAUGCAGCUCUCCGAUGUUUGCAGUAGGACUUCAGGGC